rnacentral:rRNA from 1 species
AUGCUGACAUGAGUAGCGAUAAAGAGUGUGAGAGACACUCUCGCCGAAAGUCCAAGGGUUCCUGCUUAAAGCUAAUCUGAGCAGGGUAAGCCGGCCCCUAAGCCGAGGGCGAAAGCCGUAGGCGAUGGGAACCAGGUCAAUAUUCCUGGGCCUGCUGGAAUGUGACGAAUGCUGUAAGUUGUCUCUCCUUAUCGGAUUGGGGGGGCCGCGAAGGCGUUCCAGGAAACAGCUCCAGCUUUAGACCGUACCCUAAACCGACACAGGUGGACUGGUAGAGAAUACCAAGGCGCUUGAGAGAACGAUGUUGAAGGAACUCGGCAAAAUACCUCCGUAAGUUCGCGAGAAGGAGGCCCGGGUUCAAGGCAACUUGGAUCCGGGGGCACAAACCAGGGGGUGGCGACUGUUUACUAAA